rnacentral:ncRNA from 1 species
CUCUGAUUUAGUAAAUAACUCAGGGCAAAGGAG